AUUGAACGCUGGCGGCAGGCUUAACACAUGCAAGUCGAGCGGAGAUGAGGUGCUUGCACCUUAUCUUAGCGGCGGACGGGUGAGUAAUGCUUAGGAAUCUGCCUAUUAGUGGGGGACAACAUUCCGAAAGGAAUGCUAAUACCGCAUACGUCCUACGGGAGAAAGCAGGGGAUCUUCGGACCUUGCGCUAAUAGAUGAGCCUAAGUCGGAUUAGCCAGUUGGUGGGGUAAAGGCCUACCAAGGCGACGAUCUGUAGCGGGUCUGAGAGGAUGAGCCGCCACACUGGGACUGAGACACGGCCCAGACUCCUACGGGAGGCAGCAGUGGGGAAUAUUGGACAAUGGGGGGAACCCUGAUCCAGCCAUGCCGCGUGUGUGAAGAAGGCCUUAUGGUUGUAAAGCACUUUAAGCGAGGAGGAGGCUACUGAGACUAAUACUCUUGGAUAGUGGACGUUACUCGCAGAAUAAGCACCGGCUAACUCUGUGCCAGCAGCCGCAGUAACAC
rnacentral:rRNA from 1 species